rnacentral:rRNA from 1 species
GAUGAGCAUGCGUCCCAUUAGCUUGUUGGUAAGGUAACGGCUUACCAAGGCAACGAUGGGUAGGGGUCCUGAGAGGGAGAUCCCCCACACUGGUACUGAGACACGGACCAGACUCCUACGGGAGGCAGCAGUGAGGAAUAUUGGUCAAUGGGCGCAAGCCUGAACCAGCCAUGCCGCGUGCAGGAUGAAGCAUCUAUGGUGUGUAAACUGCUUUUGUACGAGAAGAAACACUCCUACGUGUAGGAGCUUGACGGUAUCGUAAGAAUAAGGACCGGCUAACUCCGUGCCAGCAGCCGCGGUAAUACGGAGGGUCCAAGCGUUAUCCGGAAUCAUUGGGUUUAAAGGGUCCGUAGGCGGUUUUGUAAGUCUGUGGUGAAAGCCCAUCGCUCAACGGUGGAACGGCCAUUGAUACUGCAAGACUUGAAUUAUUAGGAAGUAACUAGAAUAUGUAGUGUAGCGGUGAAAUGCUUAGAUAUUACAUGGAAUACCAAUUGCGAAGGCAGGUUACUACUAAUUGAUUGA